GACGAACGCUGGCGGCGUGCUUAACACAUGCAAGUCGAACGGUGACGAGGAGCUUGCUCCUCCGAUCAGUGGCGAACGGGUGAGUAACACGUGAGUAACCUGCCCCGGACUCUGGGAUAACAGUUGGAAACAGCUGCUAAUACCGGAUACGAGACGGAGAGGCAUCUCUACCGUCUGGAAAGUUCUUCGGUCCGGGAUGGACUCGCGGCCUAUCAGCUAGUUGGUGAGGUAACGGCUCACCAAGGCGACGACGGGUAGCCGGCCUGAGAGGGCGACCGGCCACACUGGGACUGAGACACGGCCCAGACUCCUACGGGAGGCAGCAGUGGGGAAUAUUGCACAAUGGGCGAAAGCCUGAUGCAGCGACGCCGCGUGAGGGAUG
rnacentral:rRNA from 1 species